rnacentral:lncRNA from 1 species
AUGACGGAGCCAACAAGCAGAGGUGUGCUGCUGGACCUUGUACUAAUAAACAAGGAAUGGCUGGUUGGAGAUAUGAAGGUUGGGGGCAGCCUUGGCUGCAGUGACCAUGAGAUGGUGGAGUUCAGGAUCCUGCGAGAAGGAAGCAGGGCAAAAAGUAGUAUCACAACCCUGGACUUCAGGAGAGCUAACUUUGGCUUCUUCAGGGACCUUCUUGGAAGAAUCCCAUGGGUUAGGGCCCUAGAAGGAAGGGGCGUUGAAGAGAGCUGGUUAAUAUUCAAGGAUCACUUCCUCCAAGCUCAAGAGCGGUACAUCUCAAUGAACAGAAAGUCGAGCAAAAGGGGCAGAAGACCUGCAUGGACGAACAAGGAGCUCCUGGCAAAACUCAGACAUAAGCAGGAAGUGUACAGAAGGUGGAAGCAGGGAGAGGCCACUUGGGAGGAAUAUGGGAACACUGUCAAAUUAUACAGGGAUGCAACAAGGAAGGCCAAGGCCAAUUUGGAGUUAAAUCUGGCAAGGGAUGUCAAGGACAACAAGAAGGRCUUCUUCAAAURYAUCAGUARCAARAGGAAGACUAGGGAAAAUGUGGGCCCUUUGCUGAAUGGGGUGGGUGCCCUGGUGACGAAGGAUACAGAGAAGGCAGAGUUACUGAAUGCCUUCUUUGCUUCAGUCCUUACUGCUCAGGCCAGCCCUCAGGAAUCCCAGACCCUGGAGGCAAGAGAGAAAGUCUGGAGAAAGGAAGACUUUCCCCUGGUGGAGGAGGAUCGGGUUAGAGAUCAUUUAGGCAAACUUGACACCCACAAAUCCACGGGCCCUGAUGGGAUGCACCCACGAGUGCUGAGGGAGCUGGCGGACAUUAUUGCUAAGCCACUCUCCAUCAUCUUUGAAAGGUCCUGGAGAACAGGAGAGGUGCCUGAAGACUGGAAGAAAGCCAAUGUCACCCCAGUCUUCAAAAAGGACAAGARGGAGGACCCAGGSAACUACAGGCCAGUCAUCCUCGCCUCCAUCCCUGGAAAGGUGAUGGAGCAGCUCAUCCUGGAGGCCAUCUCCAAGCAUGUGGAGGACAAGAAGGUGAUCAGGAGUAGUCAGCAUGKCUUCACCAAGGGGAAAUCAUGCUUAACCAAUCUGAGAGUGUUCUGUGAGGGGAUGACUGGCUGGGUAGAUGAGGGGGAGAGCAGUGCACUCUGUGAAAAGGAAUGA